GCCUUGGUAGCUUGGAGGGUAGCACCCGCCCCUGCGCGCUGUAGCGUCUGCCUUGGAAGCGGUAUAGAUCGCGGGUUCGAUUCCCACCCAGGGCG
rfam:Asian citrus Psyllid, Diaphorina citri - Florida Strain, whole genome shotgun sequence.